rnacentral:rRNA from 1 species
CCUAGCCGUAAACAUUGGUAGUGUAACACGUCCGCUACCCGCCCGGGUACUACGAGCAUUAGCUUGAAACCCAAAGGACUUGGCGGUGCUUUAGAUCCACCUAGAGGAGCCUGUUCUAGAACCGAUAACCCCCGUUCAACCUCACCCUCCCUUGUUUAUCCCGCCUAUAUACCGCCGUCGUCAGCUUACCCUAUGAAGGUUUAAUAGUAAGCAAGAUUGGCACAGCCUAAAACGUCAGGUCGAGGUGUAGCGUAUGGGAGGGCAAGAAAUGGGCUACAUUUCCUACCAUAGGAAACACGAACGAUGCACUGAAACGUUCAUCUGAAGGGGGAUUUAGCAGUAAGCAGGAAAUAGAGCGUCCCGCUGAAAUUGGCCCUGAAGCGCGCAC